CCUGACGAGGAUGAGAACCUCCGGGGGCAAGAGGUUCGACCCGAGCGAAGCGAGAGAACGUUGCGCCAGCAACGGCCCGCAGGGCGAGCCACGCAGUGGCGAGUCAUCCUCUAUCACCGACCA
rnacentral:sRNA from 1 species